GGUUAACUAGACUAGUUAGAUGGGAAAGUUCCGGAUUCCGCAAGAGGACCUUCAUCAAAAAAUAUGAACAAUCAGACAAAAUCAACUUCAGACCUCUAGGCACACAAAUGGGCAUGCAUGCUCAUGGGUUUGCCUCCUCUCCAACAUACAUGUGCAAAAAAUAAAUGGAGAAAUAAUCAUCGUAAACAAAAGGGCAUUACCUGUUUCAGAAACAGGGAAAUGAUAUCUCAAUCUUGUAAAAUAACUUGAAAUUUUCUUGUAGCUUUUCCAUCUAUUACAUGGAAUGCCUACAAAGGCGUAUACAGAAGAAUGACUGCCAUUUCUGUGUCUGUGACUGCCUCCAGAACACAGAGGUGUGCAUUAGGACAGAAUUGAAUGCCACAGGGAUGACUAGUGCUUUCACAACUACUACGGCAUAGGUUUUAUUAAGGAUCCGUUUACAUUUACUCCGACUUUUAAAAUGUAUGGCUGUCACAAGACAAGGUGGCCACGGUGAGCAGUCAGAAAAGUGUCUGAGGACUGUUUUACAUGAUUAUGUAAUAAAAAGUUUGCAGUAUCUGCUUACAAAUAAUGUUUUCACUGAAACUCAUUGAAUAUGAUUAUGAAAUUAUUCAUCAUGUGUGGUUUGACUUACGUGGUUGACUCGGUUUCUUUUAAACGAGUAUUUUCAUAUGAUUUAAUUAAUUCAUAUGGCUGAGUUUGCCUUUGCUCUUUCGGUUUUUAUUCUACCACAGGAAUAGAGUCAGGUACUUUUGGCUAUUUGGCCCUGUGUAGUUCCGAAAAGAUUGGCAUAAAGUAUAUUACUAUAAGGUUACAUUCAGUUUCCCCUUAAGAUUUUGUAUCCGUGUUGAUAAUAUGUAUUUGGCCAAUAUUGCCAAAAGCUAAGGAAAUUUUUAUACGCCAAAAUAUCUACUGUUCUCUAAUUUAAAGAGUUUAUUAAAAAAAAAAAUGUCCUGGGGUGUGUGUGUGUGUGUGUGUGUUUACAUAGUCUGGAACACUGACUUCUGUGACUUACAGAUAAUACCAUGUCACUUAACAAUUUUGCCUCUUAAAGACCGCAUUGCCAGGAUUUGGGGCCCUGGGGCUGCUCUUUGGAAGGUUUGUACUUGAUAUGGUCCCUUCUCCUUUAGAUGAAUGUUUACAUAGGAAGCAGACUCAAAUCACUUUAAUCCGCAGCUUCCUUAAGAGCUCCCUUAGAUGCUGCAAUUGAUUUCAGAGAAAGCUCCUUAAAGGAAAGACUCGGAGAAAGCUAAUGAGUGGCCUCUGGUUGUAUCAUAACACUUCCUUUUGUUGCAGGACCAAGUAAAUGACUAGCAACACAGUAGGAUGGACUUGCACAAAAUUAGCAACACAAUCCUUUUUCUGUUGGCAAAUUAGGAUAUUGUCUAAUUUGUAACACACACAAAAAAAGGGGGGAGCCAAGAGACUAAAGGUGAGGAAGUGAUAACUGCCCCUGUGUUAAACAGUCUUUGUUGUCCUGCCUUUUCCUCCUCAGUCUGCAUUCGCUUGGUCCUGUGUUUGGGUAGGAACAUUCAAAAAGAUUAGUAAACACCCUUUUUACUCUUUGUCCUCUUUGUGCUCUUCUCUACGCAGUGUUCAUUGGGAUGUGUCUUUCAGAACACAAUUAUAAGGAGUUCUUUGAUGCGGUUUUCGUAUUUAAUGUCUUCCCCAUUUUGUUUUGAUUUUUACCUCUAUGACAAAGUCUUAUUUUCUUGCUAUCCUUGCCGCUUUUAGGAAAUGGUAGACUUGAAAACCAUUGUGAGCAACGUUGACAGCAAGUAGACAAACCUGCUUUCAGUAUCCUGCCAUUUGAGGUUUAAAGCCCUAAGAGAAGUAAUGUCUUAAAGAACUGUUCAUGUUUUCUGUAGAUGGAUAUGGUGUUAAGUUCGACAUUCCAAUGCAUGAGAACUGGGAAUUAAACUGGGUCUGUGCUCUGUGACUGACCGGUCUGUACCACAAGCCCUUCAUAG
ensembl:lncRNA